AUCAGUUAGCUCCAGAUCAACCUGGAAAGAAGUA
rnacentral:tRNA from 1 species